GUAGGAGGUGUUCCAAGUGUGGAAGUUCAGAGUACUGGGAGUGCUUGCCCAAUCACGCUAAGCGAGGUUGGGGAGAUGGAGGGGGAGACGGAAGAUAGGAACGAAGGGCGAGGAGAGGGGUCGCCAGCUACGUCAUCUGACUUAAUUGAACAACAAAAAUUGGAUAUUGGCAAAUCACCCAGUGUGACAGUGCCAGGCGACCCACCUGCUCAACCACGGCCUACUCGUAGGUUAAGAAAUAGAAAAAAGCUGUUUGAUUACAAAUUAGUGUAGUGUAGUGUAAAUAGUGUAAAGGUAACUUAGUAUAGUAGUAAGGUUCCCAAACUAGAGGGGGAAGAGUUGUGAUGUAUGCGCCGACACAGUUUGCAUGUGU
rnacentral:lncRNA from 1 species